ensembl:lncRNA novel transcript
AUACCCCACACAGUCUCCAGGCGGGAAGAGGACUUCCUUCUUCGUGAUCAAUAUUUGCGUAGCACUUUGCAAGUGUUUUCGGGUUCAUCAUUGCAUACAACCAGAGGAGGAAAAGAAAAGCAACUGGAUCCCCUUCUGCCACCUCCAGGUCUCCUAAAGGAAGAAGUCCUUGGGAACCCAUACUGUGUGAUCCAGGGUCCUUCACUGGCCUCUCCCUCAGGUCAUCCAGUUGUCAAUUUGUUGCUUUGGCUUAGUUUCACCAUUAGCAGUACUCUUCUUGGACACAACCUCCAGAGUAAAAGCAAAUGCCGGAUGCGGUGGCUCACACCUGUAAUCCCAGCACUUUGGGAGGCGGAGGUGGGUGGAUUGCCUGAGCUCAGGAGUUCCAGACCAGCCUGGACAACAUGGUGGACUUUCCAGAAAAUAUGUAGCUACCCAGCUACACCUGCACUGGGGUCAGGAUGAUCCCCAGGGGGCUCAGAACACCAGAUCAACAGUGAAGCCACAGUUGCCGAGCUCCACAUCAUACGUUAUGGCUGUGAUUCCUGUGAUAGCUUGAGUGAGGCCGCUCAGAGGCCUCAGGGCCUGACUGUCCUGGGCAUCCUAAUUGAGGUGAAAUGCUGAGCCUUGGUGUAGGAAUCUUGGUUGGCUCUCUCUGACUUCUGCUGGCCAUUUUCUUCAUGGCUAGAAGGCUUCAGAACAAGAGGCUGGAAAAUCAGAAGAGCGUGGUCAUCACCUCAGCAUGAGCCACCACUGAGGCAUAAACUCCCUCUUAGAUACCUUGGAUAUGGAUGCCUUCCCCUCGUGCCUCCAGAGGUGCUUUCCCCUCAUGUCUCACCACCCCUCAGGGAACCUCUAAAAUGGGGUGCAGGGACUGGCCGGAAUUACUGUAGGAGUAGUAGGCGCUUCUCCUCUGGACAUCCCCUGCAGAGAGGUAUGGACCCAGGCUCUCAUUCAAGGAAGAACAGCAGAGCCUUCAGCCCCUCAAAACAUGUAGGAGGAGAUCAGGGCAUCCCUGUGUUGUUAGUGCAGAGGACAAACUGUGUUUAGUUUUAGGGGAAGUUUGGGAUGUACCCCAAAGUCCUCCACCAUCUCACCUUUAUGUCCCUUUCCCUAGAUAUAUUGCAGGAUCUCCCCUUAGGAGAAAGAGUUGCUGUUGGGGUUAUAUAUUUUUGCUCAACAUAUUUGGAAACUAAAGUUUCUGGAGGAAAAAAAA